rnacentral:rRNA from 1 species
UAGUCCACGCCGUAAACGAUGUCAACUAGCCGUUGGGAGGGUUACCUCUUAGUGGCGCAGCUAACGCAUUAAGUUGACCGCCAGGGGAGUACGGUCGCAAGACUAAAACUCAAAGGAAUUGACGGGGGCCCGCACAAGCGGUGGAUUAUGUGGUUUAAUUCGAAGCAACGCGCAGAACCUUACCUAGGCUUGAACUCCUGAGAACCUCGAGUAAUGUUGAGGGUGCCCUUCGGGGAAUUCAGUGAGAGGCGCUGCAUGGCUGUCGUCAGCUCGUGUCGUGAGAUGCUGGGUUAAGUCUCGCAACGAGCGCAACCCCUAUUUUUAGUUGCCAGCAUUAAGUUGGGCACUCUAAAGAGACUGCCCGGGCCAACCGGGAGGAAGGUGGGGAUGACGUCAAGUCCUCAUGGCCCUUAUGGGUUGGGCUACACACGUGCUACAAUGGCAUUUACAAUGGGUUAAUCCCCAAAAGAUGUCUCAGUUCGGAUUGGGGUCUGCAACUCGACCCCAUGAAGUCGGAAUCGCUAGU